GUAUUAAGGUAGAGUUACCAAACAAUGAAUAAUUUACGAGAUAUUUCAUAUGUUAUGUCAAAAUGUGUUAGAAUAAAAUGCAAAGUAUCUCAUAGAUUAUUGACUUUCGAUAGCUCUACUUUAACACUUUUAUAUGCAGAAUAAUUAGAGGAAUCACAUUAUGUAAAGAAAAUCAUAUAACUCCAUUUUAAAAAACAGCACUGACCUUUGUAUGGCUUUGAAAAAUUGUAAUAUUCGAAAAUUAAUUUUGCCAUCAUUUGCCUUCCUGCGAGUCAUGUAACUUUAGUCCUGAAACAUUUUUCCGUAUCUUCCAUAUUUUCCCAUCAGAUAUUUGCCCAGGACAAAUUAAAAUGGGACGCUGUAUGUCACUGUACGUACAUACGUCAAUCCGACCUCGCACACACACUCGACGCCAAUCAUCGGCGGUACUCACAUUGUCGAACGCGUAUCCAUACUUCCCGACGUAGCGAUCGCUCUUGCUCAUCUCGCUAUCGCAUCUCGGAGGUGACAACCUCCGAGAGAGUUUCCGAAAAGAGAAAAGUUUUGUUUUCCCUCGCGUACAUACACCGCGGAUACUCUUCGAACGUCAAGUUUCGUACAGCACAAUUCCCUCUCGCUUACGGAUACGUCACUGAUAUACCCGAGUCGCGGUGAAACCGCGGCAACGCGACGCGCAAGUAGCUCGCCGGCGCGAAUCGCCGUAGGAACUGACUGGUUUAGAACGGGCGGGAGACAUUAUCAGCGUUUAUCAACCGCGACCCCUGACCAAUCGCGGCCAAUAAACCGGCAAAUUCCCCUUUCCCCGCAGCAGGCGAAAAUUAUAUCGCAAAUCCCGCCGAGUGGGAUCAAACACCUUUUUCUUCUCCGGUCUGUUGCACUCGCCGCAAACUUAUCGUCACCGCUAUUUAACUUAAUUAUUAUAACCGUUGGCUAAUUAGUUACACGAAAAAACUAAUUAAGCUGCAUUUACGCGAAAAAAAACAAUUUUUCAAAGCCACAUAAGAAGGUCGUCAUUUUUUUUUUAUAAUGGAAUUAUAUUAUGUGAUUUUCUUUACACAAUAUGAUUCCUAUAAUUCGGUAUGAAAGUAUAAGAGUUAUCGAAAAAUAUGAUAAACAAACAUUUUAGGUCAACGGUUAAUCAGCUUUAUAUAAAAUGACUAAUUAAAGCUGUGUAUACAGAUUAAUUUUUAAAAAUCAAUUUUUUGAAGCUACAUGAAGAUCAAUGCCAUUUUUUUUAAUGGAAUUAUUAUUGUAUAUGAGUUUUUUCACAUAACAUGAUUCCUUUAAUUCUGCAUAUAAAAGUAUUGGAAUUUUUGAAAAAUGUAAUAUGUAAAAAUAUUAGAAUUUUUUUCACUACAGAAACCUGUUUUCCAGAUAGCUAAAACACAUGCGGCUUAAUGAUUACUUCAAGGCCAUACUGCUUUUAAUUACUUGGAAAAUAACAAGUGGUUUCUGUGGUCAAACAAAUUCUUUCAAUAUUUUUAUUUACCAUAUAUUUUAAAUUUGUGGAAAUUUAGAAAAAAAAUAUCUUAAGUUUCCUCAGGUUUUAUAAGUCUUCUUCGAAGAAGUCUUUUAGAAUUGAUUUCAAAAUUGAUUAUCAUUAUAUAAAAAAUUUUAGAAAAGAUCUAAGCUUUUUCAGUAUCUCUGAAAAAUGUUUCAAUUAAUUCAUAUAUAAAAAAAGCAGAAAUUUUCAAAAAAACCAAAACGUUAUAAAAUUAUGAAUAGAAGAUUCUAAAAAAAUUAUAUAGAAUUUCCGAAAAAUAUGACGUGAAGAAAACCAGGAGAUACCUUUUCACUAGGAAUUGCACGCAUUCGUGGCGCAAAUUAUACGACAUUAUGCGACACGUAAACGCUCGACGAUGAACGAACGAUGGAGGAAAGUCCGGGACGCGACCACCUUCGUGCAUCUCCGAGGAAAUAUUGCGACACACGCUCAUCGUACAUAUAAUCAUACCUUGCGUAACUCUCUCUCUCUCUAUCUCUCUCGUCCGUUAUUUUGCGAGAGAACAGGUAUGAUUACGCAAAUAAUCGCGCGACGUACUGAGGAUCAUUGUUCGCCGUACGUAUCCUCGGGGAGUCCACGUGCCAUCCCGGCGAUAACGCGACCGCCGUCGUAAUCGCCUUACGACGAGAACCAGGAAUUCGACGGUCGACGACUGAUAUGCCUCGUGCUACGACUACGAUCGCCCGUCGCUAAUUUUUGCUAAUUUCGCCGUUGCUAAUUUCACCUCGCUCGGCCAUUUUUACAUAUCGAUCUUUAUCGCGGACAGACAAUAUAGCACGUUACGGAUAUGUUCAAGCGAAUAGCUAGUCGAAACAAAGAAUGUUUUUAAAUAAACACGAUAAAUAAUUUCGUAGCCUGCAGAGUUUCCGUCGCCAGACGGUGCGCGCACCUGUGCACACUACAGACGCGCGAAUCACGAGUAUCACGAUGAAAGAUCGUGCCAAUCUACAGCGUGUAUAGGCGCGACAUAUUGUGUAUACAAUACACAGUGUAUUUCGAUUUUUAUCUUGAUAUUUGAAGGAUAUUUGUAACAGUGGGCUAACCUACAUUUUGAUACUAAGAGAAAAAUAGGAAAAAGCGACACAAAAAUACGCAAGGCAAAAAAAAAUACAAAAGAGUCUUGUCUAAACGCGGAAAUCAUUAUGUAACGUGCUCGGAAAUUAUGCUGAACGCUUCGGUGGUCAAUGCGUUUUUGUGACGUGUUUACCUGUUUCAGUAAAUUUGCGUACGAUAAAAAUGCGAUGGAGAAGGACUUAUAGGUAAUUUAAUUAUAACGCGACUUCACGUUGAAUUUUUCAUGAAAGAACACCGAUAACGAUGAGAACUGACGUCUCGAAUAAUAUCUGUGUGCGUAUUUAAAAUACCGGUCUCUAGAAAAUUGAAGAGUAAUAAUAAAUUAUUAUAAAAUAUUUUAAAAUACUACAAAAUAUUAAUUUUUAAAUUUUAUUA